AUGAACGCUGGCGGCGUGCCUAAUACAUGCAAGUCGAGCGAACAGACGAGGAGCUUGCUCCUCUGACGUUAGCGGCGGACGGGUGAGUAACACGUGGAUAACCUACCUAUAAGACUGGGAUAACUUCGGGAAACCGGAGCUAAUACCGGAUAAUAUAUUGAACCGCAUGGUUCAAUAGUGAAAGACGGUUUUGCUGUCACUUAUAGAUGGAUCCGCGCCGCAUUAGCUAGUUGGUAAGGUAACGGCUUACCAAGGCGACGAUGCGUAGCCGACCUGAGAGGGUGAUCGGCCACACUGGAACUGAGACACGGUCCAGACUCCUACGGGAGGCAGCAGUAGGGAAUCUUCCGCAAUGGGCGAAAGCCUGACGGAGCAACGCCGCGUGAGUGAUGAAGGGCUUCGGAUCGUAAAACUCUGUUAUUAGGGAAGAACAAAUGUGUAAGUAACUAUGCACGUCUUGACGGUACCUAAUCAGAAAGCCACGGCUAACUACGUG
rnacentral:rRNA from 1 species